UACCAGCACCCCGAGUGGUCGGGACGUUUAUUGGGCCUAAAGCAUCCGUAGCCGGUUCUACAAGUCUUCCGUCAAAUCCACCUGCUUAACAGAUGGGCUGCGGAAGAUACUAUGGAGCUAGGAGGCGGGAGAGGCAAGCGGUACUCGAUGGGUAGGGGUAAAAUCCGUUGAUCCAUUGAAGACCACCAGUGGCGAAGGCGGCUUGCCAGAACGCGCUCGACGGUGAGGGAUGAAAGCUGGGGGAGCAAACCGG
rnacentral:rRNA from 1 species